GUCUAUGGCCGUAGCACCUGGACAGGCCUGAUCUCAUCUGGUCUCAGAAGCUAGGGAGAGUUGGGUCUGGUUAGUACUUGGAUGGGAGAAUUUCAGACAGGGACU
rnacentral:rRNA from 1 species